rnacentral:rRNA from 1 species
GACAGAGGGGGCAAGCGUUGCUCGGAAUCACUGGGCGUAAAGGGCGCGUAGGCGGGAUGGCAAGUCGGUCGUGAAAUCCCUCGGCUCAACUGAGGGGAGUCGGCCGAUACUGCCGUUCUUGAGGGAUGCAGAGGAGACUGGAAUUCCCGGUGUAGCGGUGAAAUGUGUAGAGAUCGGGAGGAACACCGGUGGCGAAGGCGGGUCUCUGGGCAUUCCCUGACGCUGAGGCGCGAAAGCGUGGGGAGCAAACGGG